UCAUUAUCAACCAUCAAGCUCUGCUUGGCAUUGGGCGUCAGCCCCGUAACAGGGGGCUCGCCCCAAAGGAUUCGGCGGUGGCAUGAAGCCUCAAGCGUAGUAAAAUUUAUCCCGCUUCAGAGGUCUUUUUGUCGCCCGCUUCCAAAAACCAACACCUCAAGGUUGACCUCGGAUCAGGUAGGGAUACCCGCUGAACUUAA
rnacentral:misc_RNA from 1 species